rnacentral:rRNA from 1 species
UAAGGAAUAUUGCACAAUGGACGAAAGCCUGAUGCAGCAACGCCGCGUGAGCGAUGAAGGCCUUUGGGUCGUAAAGCUCUGUCCUUGGGGAAGAAAAAAAUGACGGUACCCUUGGAGGAAGCCCCGGCUAACUACGUGCCAGCAGCCGCGGUAAUACGUAGGGGGCAAGCGUUAUCCGGAAUUAUUGGGCGUAAAGAGUGCGUAGGUGGUUUUGUAAGCGCGGGGUGAAAGGCAAUAGCUCAACUAUUGUAAGCCCUGCGAACUGUAAGACUUGAGUGCAGGAGAGGAAAGCGGAAUUCCUAGUGUAGCGGUGAAAUGCGUAGAUAUUAGGAGGAACACCAGUGGCGAAGGCGGCUUUCUGGACUGUAACUGACACUGAGGCACGAAAGCGUGGGGAGCAAACA